GAAUCUCUGUGGCAGCCAACCAUCCUCCUCUCACCUUAUCCAAAACUCCCCCUCCUUUCAUCAUACAAAGGUCCCUUCCUCCCUCCCACCUUCUCUCCAUUCCUUUAGCCUCAGCCACAAACUUACAACAGGUUGUGGGCUCUCUCAGAGAUGGCAGCUCUCUCUCCAGCAACACUCCCGGCAGCUGCGAUCUCAUGCUCGAGCAGCCUGAACUCCUCACUGAGAAAGAAGUCCGGUGUGGCGUACAUUGAAGGGCUGAGCUCCUUUGGGGGGCUCAAAGCUCGCAACGGAGUUUCCAACCUUGGCCUUCCGGCUUGCACUGCCCGGGCCUUCGCCAUGGUUGUGAGCUCUCUCAAGUCCUCGCCUCGGGGAAAGACGGGGAAAGGUGGAGCUCUCUCUUCCACCUGCGAUGCUGCAUCUGAGAUUUUUAAGAUUGCGGCGAUCAUGAAUGUCCUUGUGUUAAUCGGGGUGGCCGUGGGCUUCGUUAUUCUUCGAGUGGAGGCAUCUUUGGAGGAAGAGGAGUAGAAGGAUGGCGAGUUUGUUUCUUUCGAUGUAGUCCUUGUUAUUUUCGUUUGGAAGUUUCGGGCUGAAUUAUAUAUUCGGUUGGAACUACUAAUUAAGAUUUCUUGAAAGAUUGAAAUUUGAUUAAAGACGGUCUGCUAAUCUCUGCAA